UGGGGAAUAUUGCACAAUGGGCGAAAACCUGAUGCAGCGACGCCGCGUGAGGGAUGAAGGCCUUCGGGGUGUAAACCUCUUUCGCUCAUGGUCAAGCCGCAACUGUGGGUUGUGGUGAGGGUAGUGGGUAAAGAAGCACCGGCUAACUACGUGCCAGCAGCCGCGGUAAUACGUAGGGUGCGAGCGUUGUCCGGAAUUAUUGGGCGUAAAGGGCUUGUAGGCGGUUUGUCGCGUCUGCCGUGAAAUCCUCUGGCUUAACUGGGGGCGUGCGGUGGGUACGGGCAGACUUGAGUGCGGUAGGGGAGACUGGAACUCCUGGUGUAGCGGUGGAAUGCGCAGAUAUCAGGAAGAACACCGGUGGCGAAGGCGGGUCUCUGGGCCGUUACUGACGCUGAGGAGCGAAAGCGUGGGGAGCGAACAGG
rnacentral:rRNA from 1 species